AAGGAGUCGAACAUUUGUGCGAGUGUUUGGGUGUUAAACCUUCACGCGUAAUGAAAGUGAACGGAGGUGAGAGCCUUUAGGGGUGCAUCAUCGACCGAUCCUGAUGUCUUCGGAUGGAUUUGAGUAAGAGCAUAACUGUUCGGACCCGAAAGAUGGUGAACUAUGCGUGGAUAGGGUGAAGCCAGAGGAAACUCUGGUGGAGGCUCGCAGCGGUUCUGACGUGCAAAUCGAUCGUCAAAUCUGCGCAUGGGGGCGAAAGACUAAUCGAACCAUCUAGUAGCUGGUUCCUUC
rnacentral:misc_RNA from 1 species